rnacentral:lncRNA from 1 species
AAACAAACUAUGUAGGAAUUAGGUUAAAUUGAAAAUGAAGUUGUUGAUAAAGCUAAAUUUGAAAAGAAAUGUCUAAAUUGAGAUAAACGGAAUAUGACUUACUACAUAUUCAAGUGCAAAAAUAUAUAAAAAAAAGUAUUGAUAAAGAAAAAUAUUUAAUUUGGAAGACUGAAAAUGGCAAAUAAGAAACUAAAUUGAUGAUGACUACUGUAAAAGAAAAUAAAGAAAUAUGAGAUAGAAAAUACAAAAAUAUAGAAAAUACGAAAAAAGUAACUUAGAGAAACUAUUUUGAAAUGUAAUAGGUCCUAGAAGUUAACGUUCAGGCGAUUCAAAUUCAUUUAACGUUAAAGAGUAGAAAGAAAUACCCUUGUUUAUAUGAGAAUCGUAAAAUAAUGCCUAAAACUUUAACCUUCAAAAGAUAAAAGUACAUAAAAAAAUAAAAUCUUAAGAAGAGGUUGGUUGUUUAAAGAUUUGAAAACAGAAGACAAUGCCGAGGAGGUAAUGCAAAGUGUCCUAUAAGGAACAAAUGCAGAGAAAUAAAUAAUUACUAGUAGUAAUUUAAAGAGAAAUGCACGUGUAAAAAUGAAAAAAUGUUGGUUGAUUGUUUAAAUUUGAAUGGUUCUAUAGCGAUUACCAUAAAAUGUUAAGUAAACAUAUGUUUUAAGGUUCCCG